UCUCCCUCCGAUGCCGCCCCCUCCGUUUCUCUCUAACCGCAGGCUCUCCCUGGCCCUGCGGCUCCUCGGUCCUUCUUCCGGGCCCAGUGUGGUCAGGCACCUGGGUUGGGCUCGCUCAGGCUCUGUCCAGAUCCGCCAGGGAAGCAGCGGAGAGGCCGGGAAGUGGCGCGCUGCUGGAAUACACGCCUUCGGCGCAUUCUCGCUGGAUAGUUCCCUGGGCAGCACUGGGCUGGACAGGACAAAAUAGCGACGUCGUUGAUGGGAUUUGCCUGUUCUUGACAUUUCAUAUUAAUGGAAUCAUACAACUUUGGUCUUCUGUGAUUGGCUUCUACUACCUAAUAUGAUGUUUUCAAAGAUCAUCCAUAUUAUAGCAAUUAAAAAUUCAGAUUGAGUUGUCUUAAAAGUCACAAACCUAUACCCACUCACCCACGUGGGAACACAGUGGUUGUGGAGGUGGAGACAAGAAGAACCAGAAUCAGAGUUCAAAUAUGCCAGAAACUCUGGCCUCUAAAUUCUUAUGUAAGUCAGAGAGUAACUGACCAACAGCUGUGAGACACUGGGGACUUGAGCUUUCACUGUAAACUUUGGCACAGAUCACUUCUCUGAAGACUGGAUCCAACAAGCAUUAAUGAAUACAAGAAUGUGCUAUGGUAGCAUGGUGAAUUCCAGACAAACCCAAGAAUUCCAUACAGCUGGGGAAAGAGGCCCAACUCCCGAGAUGGUCUUAGAAGCGGAACUGAUAGAUCUCAGGGAAAGUGAUGAAAUAGUUGACCUCACCUGUGAAUCCCUAGAACCUACAGUGAUUGACCUAACUAGCCAUGACUCUGUUGUGAUUACUGAAGAAAGGAGGUGGCCAGAGGGAAAUACAAGGUCACUCCAAGGCCAAAUUGGCAGCUCUGUAGUGAGCAGGGAUAGGGAGGAGUUGAUGAGAAACAGAGAUGUGUAUGUGACCAACAGUACCUGCCAUAAUGCCCUGGAAGAAGAAGCUCUAAGUUGCACACUACCUGGUUAUCCAGUGUCGAAUUUGUAUGGAUGGGUACUCUGAGAUUGAACUGAGCAGGCGACACAUUUACUCUACAGAAUGUGGCCACAUCUUCUGUAGUCGGUGCCUCUGCCCUUCCCUUAAAUAUAAUAAAAAUUGCCCAGUUUGUUUGAAAAAACUCAACUGCCAUCAGUACCACCACAUUUAUAUAUGAGGUGUGCUGUGUCAUUCAGGACAGACAGAACGCUUGGCAUGGAAACAUGUCCUUGUGAAGAAACAUGGGCUGUUGGCACCUAACACACUGUACUCAAAAAGGCUGUUUUAAAAAUUGUUCGCUGGAGUAUAUAACAAACUCUUUCAUUUCUCACACACUAUGAGACUGCUUUUUGAUUCCUUUAGUUUCAUGCUUCAGGGCUGGACUUUGGUUGUCCUCAAAGCAAUUCUUCCUUUUUCCCUCAUAGUAAUCAAUUUUUAAUUGAUCACACAGGGGCAUUUUGGAUCAUGUAAACAAGGGCAACAUCCUAGAGAUAGUGGAGCAAGUGGAUGGAAGGAACCCUGGGAGACUGACAACUUUGCAAGUCAGAACCACCAUACAAAUUUGGACUUUUACUUGAGAGAUAAAUAAACAUUGUUUUUGUUUAAGCAACA